rnacentral:rRNA from 1 species
GAUGAACGCUGGCGGCGUGCCUAAUACAUGCAAGUCGAGCGAACAGAUGAGGAGCUUGCUCCUCUGACGUUAGCGGCGGACGGGUGAGUAACACGUGGAUAACCUACCUAUAAGACUGGGAUAACUUCGGGAAACCGGAGCUAAUACCGGAUAAUAUAUUGAACCGCAUGGUUCAAUAGUGAAAGACGGUUUUGCUGUCACUUAUAGAUGGAUCCGCGCCGCAUUAGCUAGUUGGUAAGGUAACGGCUUACCAAGGCAACGAUGCGUAGCCGACCUGAGAGGGGGAUCGGCCACACUAGAGCUGGGACACGGUCCAGACUCCUACGAGAGGCAGCAGUAGGGAAUCGUACGCAGUGGGCGAGAGCCUGGCGGAACGACGCCGCGUGUGUGAUGAAAGUCUUCGGAUCGGAAAACUCUGUUAUUAGGGAAGAACAAAUGUGUAAGGAAAUAUGCACGGCUUGACGGUACCUAAUAAGAAAGCCACGGCUAACUACGUG